rnacentral:tRNA from 1 species
GCCCCUAAAGGAUAACAGUCAUCCGUUGGUCUUAGGCACCAAAAACUCUUGGUGCAAAUCCAAGUAGCGGCU